rnacentral:rRNA from 1 species
UACGUAGGGUGCAAGCGUUAAUCGGAAUUACUGGGCGUAAAGCGCACGUAGGCGGCUUGGUAAGUCCGGUGUGAAACCUUGGGGCUCAACCCCAAGCCUGCACUGGAUACUGCCUCGCUUGAGUCCGGGAGGGGAGAGCGGAAUUCCUAGUGUAGCGGUGAAAUGCGCAGAUAUUAGGAAGAACACCGGUGGCGAAGGCGGCUCUCUGGAACGGUACUGACGCUGAGACGCGAAAGCGUGGGGAGCGAACAGG